rnacentral:misc_RNA from 1 species
AACCUUAUGGACCUGCGGGCGUAUACCUGCGGAGGGAUCAUUACACUCAGUAGAUUUCUACUGCUCGGGGAGAGGGGAAAGCCUCCAGCCUGGCUGGCGGGUGAGUACGCUCUGUCUGCACCCUUGUCUUUUUGCGUACUUCUGUUUCCUCGGCGGGUUUGCCCGCCGGCUGGACAACACAACAACCUUUUUGAAUUUUCAAUCAGCGUCUGAAUAACCAUAAUAAUUACAACUUUCAAC